AAUGGUUAUGGCAGGGGAAGGGCGCUUAGUAAGAUUGACUUGUUUGUUAAAAUGCCUCUUGUGGACAAUUUUUAGUGUAUGAAAGCUGAACAGCAAUCUUCAAAGCGUUUUGUGCUCUGGAAGGGACUCACCUGUUGUCUUUUUCAUUUGUCAGUGUUGAAUAACUUUGCCAAAAUACGUGAUUGGUUUUGUUCUAUGUUCUCAAAGAGGAAUCUCCUACAGUGGCCCCUAUAGUAGUGGCUGUACUUUGGGAAAACCAAAACAAGGGAGAAUUUUAUCUUGGGACGCACCUGGAAAACACUGAUGUAACACCAAGUGAGAUCAGGUUCCUUUCCUCCUCCCCCUCACACGCGUGCAAGAGGUGGCAGUAAACACUAACCCAGAACCAUUUGUGUAUUUCUAGUUAAACUAGACCUCCAGGUGUCGUCUGUGUGCUGUGUGGGUUUGGGGAAAGCCCUGUAGCUCUUAUCAAAGCUGUAUUACACUCCUGUUCCCUACGUUCAGUAUUUUUGGGGGAAGAAUUACUACUUUUUUUUUCCAAUCAGCGUUGUAAGCUUUUGCCAAAUGUUGGGUGGGCUGCUGGCAGUGAGGAGAGCAGCUCCUGAGGAGCCUCUGCUCUGUGCAGUGCUGUGUGGGGGCUGCGUGGCUCCAGGGUUUGCCGUCCCUUCUCAGUGAUGAAAUUGCAGUCCCUUGUUUUGGGUUCCCCCUUUCUUUAUCAUGGAAAUGUUGCAACUAAUCAACUGAAGUGGCAAUAUGAUGAUAAGCUUGUUUGAGUUGGGUCAUGUUGACCCGAUUCCCAUUAAUUUUGUCUUUGUACCAUCUUUCAUGUGUCUCGUGCGUGUGUAUAUACAUAUAUAUAUAAAAAGAAAAAUAAUCCAGCUCAUGCCAGGUGCGUUCCCUAUCACAGCAGUGAUCUCAGCUGUUUUCUUUCCCGAUGGACGAUGCCAAGCCUGGAUAGAAACCCUGUGUGCACAGUGAGAAGGUGGAGGACAGCAGGAAGAGGAGCUGCAGCUGCUGCUGAGAUGUGCUGCGCUGGAGGAUGGCAGAUGUGGCUCUCGAGUGUCCACGGAUCUGCUUUGGGUGUGCAGAGCGGUGGUGAUGGGCAGCCGAAGCCAAAGUGGUGAUGUCCUCCCGCGGCCUUUGCCUGCUCUCCCCACGAGGUCUCCUCCUCCCGCAGCCGUUGCAGCCGCGCUCUCCGUCCUGCAGCAGUUUCUCCUGGCGCUGUCAGGAUCUGAGUCGCCGUCCUGCCCCCAUCGCGCACAGAUCUGUCGUCACUGCUGCUGCCCAUGGGGCCAAGAACACUGCAGUGGUGUUCCUGAGCCUGGCUGGAAGCACGCGGGGCUUUUGCCCACAGCUGUGGCAUCGUCCUGCCCUGGAAGCGACUUUAUUUGUGAAGUCUGACGAGCAUUGAUGGGAAUUUUGUUCGGUUUUUAUAAGAAGUAUUUUACACAUGGAUUUUUUUAGACUCUUUAUAAUCUCCUUGAAAACCCAAAAUAGGAUUGUUCCCCCAGCAAUAGUUCUCCUCCAUUGUGUGCACAUGCUGAUUUGUUACUAAAAGGUUUCUUGCAAGUACUUAGUUGUUCUACAGAGUUGUUGUUUUUUGGGGUAUGUGGUAGCGUUGGGGACCACAGGAGGAACGACUCUGCAAACAAAGGAUGGUCGAAUUCGGGCCUCAUCUUGUGUCCCCUCCUAGUUGCAUAUGGACGAGUUCCCUGUGUAGAUUCUCUAUAGGCUGGCUGAAUGCUGUUCUGGACAUGCCGUGUACAGGUAUUUGUGGAUAACGUGUUUGUUCUUGUGUCACUCUUGAGAGCAUGGAUGGAUUAUUGUUCAAUAGGAAGGAGGUGGCAGUGCUGCUGUCAGCAUUGCUUCAGGUCUUCGAGGACGUGUAGUAGCAUUUGCAUUGUUUAAAAAAGGAAAAAAUAUAUAUAUCCAAAAUUGACUUCUAGCCAUAACAGUUUUUCCAUGGAAAGUGGACAGAACUCGGUUACUUUCGUGUCCUUCACCUCGAGCCUGAAGGCACGGAUAAGUGCUGAUCAGUCUGAAGGCUUUCAGAGUUGCUUUGAAUUGAAUGGCGUUGGAGGUUAAGAUCAGGACGCAGCUUUUCCUUUGUCCUUGGCCUUCGUCUUAAAGGGCCAAAGAAGGGUCAGGAGAAUUUUCCUGUUGUCUUGGUCUGGUAUGUAUUAAGCCUUGAGGCUUUGAUAACUGACAUUUACUAUUAAAAAAGGAAGAAAACAAAAGGCAGUAAGGCUGGCUGGCUCCCGGAGCGCCGGCUGAGGAGUAGCGGACGCGUUGGUGACAAGACUGGCUGUGCUGUGGUCAGGCUGAACACGUGGAAGUGCAAUGACUGCCACCAGUUCUCAUAGUGCUGAGUGCUGCGCCAGCAUCAGAACUAGCAGAGAAACGGAUGCAACAAUCCAGGAACGGUUUGUCAGAUCUCGGUGGUGUUUGAUGGUGAGAGGUUCAAACUCCCCUCCCGGAGCUUGCCCCAUUCUGUUCUCUGCGAGCAGAGACCCACAUCCCACCUUCCAAAGCACUGGAGCACAGUUGGAGCUCCUGUCCCAGCCCAGGUUCACCUCAAUGCUACAGCCAUCCCACGUGGUACUUCUGAAAGGUGAGAACUGCUCGGUGUUGCUGUCAUGGGGGCACAAAAUAGCCAUCAAAAACUGAAGAGAUGAGUUUGCACUCCUAAAGAAAAAUGUAAGUACUUCAACUAGAUAAUUUUUAAUUGUAUUUCUGCCUAGAGGUAUUAAAUACCUUCUCUCACUUGAGGAUUUUCAGAGUUGUGUUGGGAAAUGAAUUCUGCUCUCAGCUGUAAGAAAUUCAGCUGGCCCAAGACUAACUUCAAGAUGAAAAAAAUAAUCAUGUUUGUAAUACGUUACAGGAUUGUUUGUCCUGAAUUUUAAACCUUUUUGUUAAAUUUGUGGAACUACGGAGGAAUUUUCUAGAAAAAGUGAAAUAAAGUAAGAUGGAAAAGUAC